rnacentral:rRNA from 1 species
CCUUAUAGUAUCCAUCUCGUAUGGAUUAAAGCUUUAUGCGCUUUGGGAGGGGCCUGCGUUUGAUUAGCUAGUUGGUGAGGUAAAAAGCUCACCAAGGCGACGAUCAAUAGCUGGUUUGAGAGGAUGACCAGCCACACUGGGACUGAGAUACGGCCCAGACUCCUACGGGAGGCAGCAGUAAGGAAUCUUCCACAAUGGGGCAACCCUGAUGGAGCAAUACCGCGUGCAGGAUGAAGCGUUUCGGCGUGUAAACUGCUUUUAUCACCGAAGAUUAUGACUGUAGGUGAAGAAUAAGGACCGGCUAACUACGUG